rnacentral:rRNA from 2 species
GUUGACCUCGGAUCAGGUAGGAAUACCCGCUGAACUUAAGCAUAUCAAUAAGCGGAGGAAAAG